UAAAAGUAUAAUCCAAUAAGUGUCUACAUGUUAUGCAUACAUAUUAGCAUAUUCAUGAAUGUAUGUACAUUUUGCACUUCUUAAUUUUGUAACAUCGAAAUAAGCAAAGUUAUUUAAAAGGUAAGGAAAUUUCUUUUUUGCCUAAUCUUUCGCAUCAACACUACAUUUGGCAAAUGCCGAAUACUUGCUGCUUGUGCAAAACAAUUCAUGUUACGACUACAAAUGUUCCAAACUGACAAAUCACAACGAGAGGAAUGGGAAAAAGUAUGUGGCGUGCAACUCAGUUUGUCAUCGAGAAUAUGUGGGCUACAUUUAAGGCGGAGGAAAUAAAAGAAUCUCCCCUUAAAAGAAGACGACUAAGCCCCGAUGCAGUACCUUUAUUAUAAUUACUUUCCACUCUUGAAGGAAACAAGUAAGACACCCUCUUCUUCUGAUAAAUAAAAAUUAUACGUUUUUACCAUUGAUUAGGCCACAAGACAAAAAACUGUUUUAUAUGUACGCUUACUUGAGAAUACACUAUUAGAAACAAAAAUAUUCAUUUAAUAUUUGAUUUAUAUGAACUAUUCAUCUGAAUAAACUGCAUUAAAAAAUUA